UAGUCCUACGGGACGCAGCAGUGAGGAAUAUUGGUCAAUGGGCGGAAGCCUGAACCAGCCAAGUCGCGUGAGGGAAGAAGGCCCUGCGGGUCGCAGACCUCUUUGGACGGGGAGCAAGGCCGCCGACGUGUCGGCGGAAGGAGAGUACCCGUAGAACAAGCAUCGGCUAACUACGUGCCAGCAGCCGCGGUAAUACGUAGGGAGCGAGCGUUGUCCGGAAUUACUGGGUGUAAAGGGAGCGUAGGCGGGGAUGCAAGUUGGGUGUCAAAACUACCGGCUCAACUGGUAGUCG
rnacentral:rRNA from 1 species